AGAGACCUGAGCUAGCACAUCACCGCACUCAGUCACCUCACCAUGUAAUGCCCUGCAUGUAAUGCCUCAGGGCUUUGUACAGAGUUUCUACCAGCAAGAAGGCUCUCACGAAAUGUGACACUUCAAGCUUGGACUUCUCAGUCUCUCUGUUAACAACAAAAGAGAUUUGAACUAAGGCCUGGUCUGGCAAACUUUGAAAAGCAACUCAUUCACUGUUGGGGAGAAAAUGCUACCAGAGGUUAAGCAAUGAAUGGGAGACUCAACUUGGAGUUCACUGUACCUGUGUGAGCAUGGGCCUAUCAGUACUGAUGCUUUCUUCUGAGGCAUAAGAGUGCCCUUGAGAUGCCAUGGGUCAGUGCCAGCUGCUCUCCUUGCAAGAAAGCUGGUGUUGAGCUAGCUCUGCUUCCAGUCUCCAGGAGAACCAAAUAUGCAUAUGUUUGUAGAAAUUUCUGAAGAAAUGUUGUAUAGAAACGAUGGCUGUACAAGUUGGCACCAACAUCUGCUCAGCUUCUGGUGAAGGCCUCAGGAAGCUUACAAUUAUGUUGGAAGGUGAAAUGGUAGCAGGAAUUUUAAAUGGUGAGAGUGGGAGCAAGUAGGGGGAAGGUGCCACACACUUUUAAACAAACAUAUCUCACAUGAACUCACUCAUCACCUAGGGGAAGGCUCUAAGCCAUUCAAGAGGAAUAUGCCCCCGUUAUCCAAACACCUUCCACCAGGGAAUUGGUAAUAUAAGGUAAUUCCCUACAUUACAUGCAAUCAACAUGUGAUAUAAUUACAUGUAAUCAACAUGUAAAUGUAAUCUCUGCCUCCAACACUGGGGAUUACAUUUCAGCAUGAGAUUUAAAGGAGACAAAUAUCUGAACCAUAUCAUGUUCAUAAUAUUAUGGGUAUAUACUGACCCCAAAAGCCAGAAUACCUGAAGUCUAGACCCAGAUGCAACAUUACGUAGUCACAUAUAAGUAAUUUAACUUGGCUUAAUUUUCAAAUUAAAACAUAGGGUUAGUAGCAUCUUCUCUGUUUUCCUCACAAGAUUUCUGAAGAGCAAAGCAAAGUCAUCUCUGUGAUCAAAUUAUUCAAUAUUAAUAAUAUCUUACUAUUUAGAGUAAACAAUAAGAUAUUUUGAAUGGUAACUGAAAGGUUUAUGCUUAAUUUCUCAGUAGUUCUUUAACAUUUGUACAUUAUAAAUUUUUGACACUGUACAUUGAAGGUAGUCCUAUGGAUAUAAACUAAGAUAUCAUCAUUUUGGUCUCUCAAUGUAUUUGGAAGAAAAUUAUUGAGGUGCAAAUGAAAACCUUGAAUUACUUCUGGAAAAGAAGCAUGUUUCAGUGACACAUUAUUAUAAAAAAUCAUAUACGCAGUUUGAGACUUUUCCAUGGUCACAAAAUAAUUAUUGGUUUUUUCACAAAUGUUGGUUAAAAAUGAUGUGAACCUUUUUAAGGUGACACAUGACCUACUUUGCCACGUUCCAAUUAUAUGCAGUUUUCUUGAUAAUAUAUCUUGACAUUUGCUAGAUAAACUGUUUAUCAUUUCCUCUGAGUACUUUGUUAGUAGCAAACACUUUGAAAAAAAUCUUGAAAUAUAUAGAAAAAUAUGUUGCAGACAAUAUUAUUUGCAUACUAUCAAUCUUAUGCUUGACUUCAAAAAUAUUAUUUGAAUCAUUUGCAUGAAAACGAGAUCUUUGUCUUUUGAGAGUUUAUAUUCUCCUGUUGCUAUAUACGUUAUACUGGAUUAUUACUUCAAGUGAGGAAUAAACAGCAGGAACAGAUGAACUCUGAAAAAUAAAGAUCCCCUUUUUAUGCAAAUACAUCUAAUAAUUAACACAGAGAAAUAGGAAAGUUAUACACAAUUUCUCUGACAGAAUCCAAUAGAGUUUUUCAAAAAUAAAAAAAGGGCUUUCACGUUUUGAUUUAACAUCUGAAGUCAGUGGAGUUUGCAUAUGUUACUUUGAUCUUCAAAACCCUAUGUGGUCUCAGUGCUAGUGACUUUUAAUGACGCCUCUUAGAUUCCUGGUGGUUCUUUUUCUCAAAAGGUCUAAGGAGAACAAGAACAUAAUUGUUUUCUCUCAAAGUUUAGUUUGCAAACACGUUUUGUGUUUGAAAAUGAUGCUGAUAAUAAUUACAAUAUAUGUAUAUAGCUGUAUUUAUAUGUGUGUGUUUAUGUAUACAUAUAUAUGUAGUGCUUUUAGUACUUUAUAAGGUACUUGAUUAGAUAUAUAAAUUAAAAUGUAUUUCUCUGACAAAAAAGCAGUAGUUUUCAAUCUUUUCGAACAUGGGAAUAAAUUCUUGUUAUUAAAUAAUUGUAAGUCCCCUCUCCACAUAGUAAAUGUUACAUUUUUAUUUAUUCCAACUUCAGACAGUGUUAGGCAGGAAUCUAGACCCAACAUGGCGGCGUUACCCGACGUAGCAGGCCUUUUGUUAAAGACUCCCUUCACCCUUGUACACACCCGCAGACUUACAUGCGUCAGAGUUCCGGCUGGGUAACCACACUCCCCCAUGACCUGCAGCUCACCUGCAUUCCACAAGUUCGUAAACAGCAGUUUCGGUUAACAGUUUCCAA